UCAUGGGUUGUCACGGUGCGUUUACUUUCCCGUCUUGGCUCGAGAGCGUUUUAGGCUCGUUUGGCAUUUCAGACACCCUGUAUAAAUAGAUGCACUUUGCUCCUACAAAAGGCACUUUCUUUCUCGACCAGUCCGCUACGGACCUACGACACCACCGAUUUGUAUCACGCGAUUUGAUCAUCGUGAACACCAAUGGAACUUUAAUUUUCUUUCUUGUACUUUUGCAAGAUCCUCUAGUAAAUCAUCAUUUUAAUGUAAGCAUCUUCGAUAAAUCUUACAAAUAUCCUAGUAUUUUACAUAUACGAAUCAUUAAAUAUUAAGUAUUUUUAAAUAAAUAGUAAGUACGUUUAUGAAAAUAAUAAUCAUUUACUUAGGGACCUUGCGUCACGAGAAGUAUGCCAUUAUCGAUCGUAUCGUCACUCUCAAUUUACAAUUGUUCUUUAUAUCUUCUUAUCUACAAAGGUACACUACAUAUAAUUUAAGUAACCGUAUAUUAUGUAUUUAAAUCUAAUCAACAUUAUCUUUGGUAUAACUUUGAUAAGUGUUUCUCGUUAUUAUUUCUCUAUUAAGGCAUAAUUUGUUAAGCUUAUACUUCGCGCAAUACUUAUUUUCUAUCACGCGACGUAUUAUGAUAAAACUUUGGCAUUCGAUUAAAACCAAAGCAUCAUCUUUGGCUAUUCUAGCUUUAAUUAAAUAAUUUUAUCUUCUCCACCAUAUAGAUACUUCCAUCGAGCAAUUUAGCAAGAAAAUAGAGAUCCGAAUUACCGUGGUCCAUACAAUGAGGGUCCAGUAUGGGGAUGAUGAGGAUGCGCAGGAUAGUGGACCGAAUUCAUGUGUGCAGUUGGUUGUCCAUGGUGUCCAGGAUAAGUCCAAGGUCCUGCUGCGGUAGCACCGUAAAAUUGAUGAUGUUCUUGGCUCGAUAUGCUUGGAAUUUGCACGGUCUCUUUGCAGGAUUCUGCAUGCUUGAAACCGCGACAGAGUCACACUCAUCCGAUUCACAGUCACGAAAACCUUUCGCAAACGGAUUGCUAGCAAUUUUAAGUUGCGUGAUACGAUGAUUUUGAUAAGCUGUGACC